GAUGAACGCUGGCGGCGUGCCUAAUACAUGCAAGUCGAGCGAACGGACGAGAAGCUUGCUUCUCUGAUGUUAGCGGCGGACGGGUGAGUAACACGUGGAUAACCUACCUAUAAGACUGGGAUAACUUCGGGAAACCGGAGCUAAUACCGGAUAAUAUUUUGAACCGCAUUGUUCAAAAGUGAAAGACGGUCUUGCUGUCACUUAUAGAUGGAUCCGCGCUGCAUUAGAUAGUUGGUAAGGUAACGGCUUACCAAGGCAACGAUGCAUAGCCGACCUGAGAGGGUGAUCGGCCACACUGGAACUGAGACACGGUCCAGACUCCUACGGGAGGCAGCAGUAGGGAAUCUUACGCAAUGGGCGAAAGCCUGACGGAGCAACGCCGCGUGAGUGAUGAAGGUCUUCGGAUCGUAAAACUCUGUUAUUAGGGAAGAACAUAUGUGUAAGUAACUGUGCACAUCUUGACGGUACCUAAUCAGAAAGCCACGGCUAACUACGUG
rnacentral:rRNA from 1 species